rnacentral:rRNA from 1 species
AUUGAACGCUGGCGGCAGGCCUAACACAUGCAAGUCGAGCGAGUGGCGGACGGGUGAGUAAUGUAUGGGGACUGCCCGAUAGAGGGGGAUAACUACUGGAAACGGUGGCUAAUACCGCAUACUAUCGGAUAACCCAUAUGGGAUUAGCUAGUAGGUGGGGUAAAGGCUCACCUAGGCGACGAUCCCUAGCUGGUCUGAGAGGAUGAUCAGCCACACGGGGACUGAGAAACGGCCCAGACUCCUACGGAGGCAGCAGGGGGGAAUAUUGCACAAUGGGCGCAAUCCUGAUGCAGCCAUGCCGCGGGUAUGAAUAAGGCCUUAGGGUUGUAAAGUACGUUCAGCGGGGAGGCGUUACCCGCAGAAGAAGCACCGGCUAACUCCGUGCCAGCAGCCGCGGUAAUAC